AACUCAAGUUUGAACAAGAAAGAAAAAGAAAAGGUUAUAAUUACUUCUACCAAGAUGAAAUUGAAGCCCUGGGCUUAGGGCCUAAAGGACGAGCUUACUUGUUGCUAUUGGUGAGCAUGAAUCAUCUUAUUGUGGAGACCACCGGUGGGCGAAUUUUUUAUUGAGUGUUGUGAAUUAGAACCAACCUUUUGUGAAUUAGUUCUUUUGUUAAUAAAAUUCACUGUUAAACAA